rnacentral:rRNA from 1 species
GAACGAGGAUAUAUCCUUCGGGAUAUAAGCCGAGUGGCGCAAGGGUGAGUAAUGCAUAGAUUACCUGCCUCUAGGAUAAGGACAACUUUGUGAAAACGAAGCUAAUACUUAAUAAUACAAGUGGAAAUAAUUUCCAUUUGUCAAUGGGAGGGUAGCAAUACCUUCUGCCUGGAGAGGGGUUUAUGUCCUAUCAGCUUGUUGGUGGGGUAAUGGCCUACCAAGGCGAAGACGGGUAGCCGGUCUUAGAGGAUGGUCGGCCACACUGGGACUGAGACACUGCCCAGACUUCUACGGAAGGCUGCAGUCGAGAAUCUUUCGCAAUGCCCGAAAGGGUGACGAAGCGACGCCGCGUGAGUGAGGAAGGCCUUCGGGUUGUAAAGCUCUGUCAGGAGUUAAGAAAUGUAAGUGUGCUAAUACCACAUUUAUUUGACGAAGGCUCCAAAGGAAGCCACGGCUAACUCUGUGCCAGCAGCCGCGGUAAUACAGAGGUGGCAAGCGUUGUUCGGAAUUAUUGGGCGUAAAGAGCACGUAGGUGGGUUUGUAAGUCAGAUGUGAAAGCCUUCUGUUCAACGGAAGAAUUGCAUCUGAAACUGCGAGUCUUGAGUGUAGGAGGGGAGAAUGGAACUUCUAGUGGAGCGGUGAAAUGCGUAGACAUCAGAAGGAACGCCGGCGGCGAAAGCGAUUCUCUGGCCUAUUACUGACGCUCAGUGUGCGAAAGCUAGGGGAGCAAACGGGAUUAGAUACCCCGGUAGUCCUAGCCGUAAACGAU